ACAUCCCGCCAUAUUACCCUGAAACACUGAUUCCAUCAGAUUUUGGAAUCUAAGCAAGGACAAGUCUGAUAAGUACUUGGGUGGGUGAUCAUCAGAGGAUACCAGGCAUUUC
rnacentral:rRNA from 1 species